AACGAACGCUGGCGGCAGGCUUAACACAUGCAAGUCGAGCGAACCCUUCGGGGUUAGCGGCGGACGGGUGAGUAACGCGUGGGAACGUGCCCUUUUCUACGGAAUAGCCUCGGGAAACUGAGAGUAAUACCGUAUACGCCCUUUUGGGGAAAGCUUUAUCGGAGAAGGAUCGGCCCGCGUUGGAUUAGGUAGUUGGUGGGGUAAUGGCCUACCAAGCCGACGAUCCAUAGCUGGUUUGAGAGGAUGAUCAGCCACACCGGGACUGAGAAACGGCCCAGACUCCUACGGGAGGCAGCAGUGGGGAAUCUUAGACAAUGGGGGCAACCCUUAUCUAGCCAUGCCGCGUGAGUGAUGAAGGCCUUAGGGUUGUAAAGCUCUUUCAGCUGGGAAGAUAAUGACGGUACCAGCAGAAGAAGCCCCGGCUAACUCCGUGCCAGCCGCCGCUGUAA
rnacentral:rRNA from 1 species